UUUUUGUCAUGCAUCUGGUUUUUUGAAAUCAUUUAUCUUUAAUUUGUUUUUUUUGUUAUAUUUGUCAAAAUUCAUAAUUUUUGUAUAACGGAACCUGGUUUUUGUUUUGUAUCUGGUUUAUUUUUGCAGAUGAUUAGAUUAGGGUUUUUUUGUGAUUGUUUUAUUUUUCUUGCAGAUUAUUAGAUAUGUUUGGAGGAAAAUAGUGGAAGAAGUUUGCCAAGAGAGUGAAGCAGCGGAGGAUGGCAACAAGGGUUGUCAAAGAAAAGCGAGAUGCCUCUCCAUGAAAGAAGUUUGCCUGUUUCAAUCUAAUGUCCUGCUAUUCAUCGAGGACUGAGUCGUGAAUCAUAUAACCUAACUGUGGUUAUUCCAAAAGCUCUCAUGCCUCAUGAGUUAGUUACAUGAAUAACUAUGAAAUGAUGAGUGGGGUUCAAAAGAGGUUAUUUUCUGGUUAAAUCUGGUUCAGAAGCAGCUGCAACAAGCUACUGAUAAGGAGAAAAUACAGUCAAGACUGACAAAUCUGAAAGCAUUGAGGACCCAAUCUGAAUGGUUUGUUUGGGAGACAAUCUGGGACAACUCUUUGAUACUUCUAUUCUGCGGCUAACAAGAACAAGGUUGUGAACGGGAUGAGAAAGCCCCGUAUGAUUACUUGCUUAACCCUGAGAAGUACAUCCCUGGGACAAAGAUGGUGUUUCCUGGUCUUAAGAAGCCUCAGGAUCGUGCUGAUCUUAUUGCAUAUCUGAAGCAAGCCACUGCAUCAGAAUAGAAUUUCCGUAUGCACCUCAAACAUGGAGUUUUAAUUUUCGAACAUUUUAUUUGUGUGGUGCAAACCACUUAUCUUGGCAAAAAAUAAUGCAGACUUGAUUAGUUUGUUGUGCUAUUUUGUUCCUUUUGCAUUGCAUUGCAUUGCUUCUUUAGAGUUGCGUUACAUAUAUUUCGCUGUGGACUAAUAUUAAGACAU